rnacentral:rRNA from 1 species
UACGGGGGGGGCAAGCGUUGUUCGGAAUUACUGGGCGUAAAGGGCUCGUAGGCGGCCAACUAAGUCAGACGUGAAAUCCCCAAGCUUAACCUGGGAACUGCGUCUGAUACUGGAUGGCUUGAAUUCGGGAGAGGGAUGCAGAAUUCCAGGUGUAGCGGUGAAAUGCGUAGAUAUCUGGAGGAAUACCGGUGGCGAAGGCGGCAUCCUGGACCGACAUUGACGCUGAGGAGCGAAAGCGAGGGGAGCAAACGGG